rnacentral:rRNA from 1 species
UACGUAGGGUGCGAGCGUUAAUCGGAAUUACUGGGCGUAAAGCGUGCGCAGGCGGUUCGUUAAGUCAGAUGUGAAAGCCCCGGGCUCAACCUGGGAACUGCAUUUGAAACUGGCGGGCUUGAGUGUGGCAGAGGGGGGUGGAAUUCCGCGUGUAGCAGUGAAAUGCGUAGAGAUGCGGAGGAACACCGAUGGCGAAGGCAGCCCCCUGGGCCAACACUGACGCUCAGGCACGAAAGCGUGGGGAGCAAACAGU